rnacentral:rRNA from 1 species
CCUACGGGAGGCAGCAGUGCGGAAUAUUGGUCAAUGGACGCAAGUCUGAACCAGCCAAGUCGCGUGAGGGAUGAAGGUUCUCUGGAUCGUAAACCUCUUUUAUAAGGGAAUAAAGUGUGGGACGUGUCCUAUUUUGUAUGUACCUUGUGAAUAAGGAUCGGCUAACUCCGUGCCAGCAGCCGCGGUAAUACGGAGGAUCCGAGCGUUAUCCGGAUUUAUUUGGUUUAAAGGGUGCGUAGGCGGCCUUUUAAGUCAGCGGUGAAAGUCUGUGGCUCAACCAUAGAAUUGCCGUUGAAACUGGGGGGCUUGAGUAUGUUUGAGGCAGGCGGAAUGCGUGGUGUAGCGGUGAAAUGCUUAGAUAUAACGCAGAACCCCGAUUGCGAAGGCAGCCUGCCAAGCCAUGACUGACGCUGAUGCACGAAAGCGUGGGGAUCAAACAGGAUUAGAUACCCGUGUAGUC